UGCGGUCAUGGCGGAAUGGCAGACGCGCCAGCUUGAGGGGCUGGUAGGGAAUCUCCCUGUGUGGGUUCAAAUCCCAUUGACCGCAU
rnacentral:tRNA from 1 species